UGAUGUUGAAAUAAAGGAUUCUUCAAAUAGGACGAAAUGUUUGGUUUUCGAAACUUAAGGACCCAAAACGACAUUUACUCUUCUUUUACGUUUCUCCCACAUCGUGCAAAGAGAGAACUUUACAGCAUAAUAAGAACCCUAGCGAAGCAAUGGAGUUCGUCCCUUCGGGGACAUCCGAUAAAAUUGGAACGAUACAGAGAAGAUUAGCAUGGCCCCUGCGCAAGGAUGACACGCACAAAUCGAGAAAUGGUCCAAAUUUUUUUGCCGGUCGGAGGCGCUGAUGCUCCGGUUGAUCUGUAUUUUUUUGGCCGGCGACGGUCAAACGAGAUUUCUCGAAUUUUAUCAGAAUCCCCAAAUUCAUGGUUUUGCUAAUUAGGUUUUGCCAUUUGAUUGACUUAUAGUUUUUUUUUGUUGUUGUAGUUGGUUACAAUUACAAUCAUUUCAGUUUAGAUGGCGAAUUGAGCUCCAGUCAGAACAAAUAACUCAGCCCUCAUUGCUAUGAUUGCUGUUGAGCUUUGCUAUCAGAUUUUCUUGCUACCAUGCUUCAAAUUCUUUUCUUUCUGUCGAGCCAAGGGUGUAUUGGAAGCAGUCUCUCUACCCCACAAAAGUAGGGAUAAAGUCGGUGUAAAUUCUACCUUUCGCAGAUUUCACUUGUGGGAUUACACUGGGAUACAAUCACUGGGUUUUUACUAGCAGGAGUUGGUAAUGUUGAUUUGAGGAGGAAAACUAACUAUCUUAUUGUUGAUUCAAAAAUAAUGGUGAAGCAGAUUGAAGAUGCUUUGAAAGAAUUCACCACAAGGGAGGACAUUGUGAUAGUAUAAAUCAGCUUAUAUUUCCACCACUUUCUUGGUAUACUUGUAUUUGCAAAGUCAACCUUGAAUGGUGUGUGGGCCAUCUAAGGGGAACCUUGGAGCAACGGUAAAAUUUGUCUCCGUAUGACCACUAAUGCUUACAUUAGAGUUGUUUGUCUACAUCACACCCCUUCCCCUUGGGAUGCGGCCCUUUAUUGAACCUUGCUAAUACGAGAGGCUUUGUGCACUAGGCUGCCAUUUUAACCUUGAAUGGCGUCUAAAAAGCAUAGUUGAGGAAUCAUUGCCAUAUCAUGCCAACUUCUAUGACUGCAAAAGAGGAGGACCAUUUGUCUAAUAUGAGUCUGUCCUCCGGAAUUGGACAAUAAUGAGGAUUACCUGUUAAUUGCACCAAACAACUUGGGAGAAAGUACAAACACUUCCCAUUAUAAAAGUAGCUAAGGAUUUGUUUUCUGCAGUCAAAUCGUUUCAAUCUUUUGUUUGUUGUUACUGACUCCAGCAAAAUAUGUCCAAAUGUACUACCUCUAACUAAUAUAGUGCAUUCGUGUGACGGUGAUCAAUUUAACAUUUUUGAACUUUGAUUGAUUUUGUUUUCUUCAUGUAUUAGCAAUUUGUAUGUUGUUCUUCGGCGUCUCUUCAGGACAACUACUGCUCCUCUUUUGCCUCUAUUUGUAGUUGCUCUAAUAAAUCCUUUGGAUCGAAUAAAAGCUUCUCCCAUUUUCAUAUUAAGGUUGCAAACAUGAUCAGAUUCUUGGUUGAUAGUUACAAUAAACCAAUCCCAGCCAUUCUGGAGAUUCCUUCAAAGGACCAUCCAUAUGAUCCUGCUCACGACUCUGUUCUUUCACUAGUGAAGUACCUCUUCUCUACUGAAUCAGUGGCAUCUGAUAGACGAUGAGGAAAAAAUGGUUUACAUAUACCCCUAAUCAUUAGUUCACCAUUUUACUAUGCAUCUUCUAUCAUCAUUCUCCUAAGAUUAUUCCUUAAUCUUUCUUGAGGCUUAACUCACAUUACCUGUUUCAGUCCCUUAUUUACUGCUGCUUUUUUUUCACCGCUUGAGUGAAUAAUUCAUCCUUGUAAUAAGUUGAAUGUUGGUCACUUUACUGAGUUUGCACUUAUUAUUCGAUUGAUGUCGUGAUGGAGUUUUUAUAGAAGAACAGAAAUGUAUUGUGUGCUUAUGGAUAUAAUGAGUCAAGAUUUGGGUUGGUGUUGCUUCAAUAUAUUUAAGUCUUAGAUGGUGAACUCACAAUGUCUUGUAUCUGUUUUCUGUUUAAGUUAUUGCCUUUUGUUAUUCAAAUAUUAAGAAACAGAAGCCAUAAUUUGAUAUGAUAUUGCAUAUCCAAUAUGAUGCACAUAUCCUGGUUGAUGGACAUGUUAUGUGGACAACAAUUGAGGCCCUGUAGGGAUAGCAAUGGGGCGGGCAGGGAAGGGCAGGGUAGUGAGCCACUUCCUCGAUGUGGAUGUUGUGUAGCUGCUCCACAAGAAUAUAUAAGGUGAAGUGGAUUGUGGGAAGGAAGCUCGAUAGAGGCCCCUAGCUAACGAGAUGUACCUUUCAGCAUUGUUGGAAAGGCCAUUGAAGAAUUCUUGGAAUUCCGACUUCAAACAGCAUUCCGACUGGCCUUUCCAUUGGACGAAACACGGUGAUUUCCAACCCCUCAACUGUAUAAUACAUUAACCAUCUCUUUCAUUGCUUUACAAACUUGUGUUAGCAAAAAACAGAGAAUUUUUUCCCUUCUCAUGUCCUAAACAAGCACGAAAUGAGAUUAAUGAAGAGUUACUCUCCACAAGGAAUUGUAAAACUGCCUAUCAGAUGAUCAAAAUCAACUUCUUCCUCAGCUUGACUCAGCAAAUCUUGAAAAGAAAAAGGUUGGCUCAAGAAUGAAAUCCGGACAAUGAACCUCUCUUGUUAUGGUUCUCACAACAUAGACAACAAAAUGACCCUUUGGAACAUCUCCUAGUGUCGAAGACUUGUUGAGGGCUCGAUUAGAUUGAGUUAUACGAGGAACUUGGAUGGACAUAAUUAUAGCUAUAGACGAACAAAAGGAAGCAGCUAUCAACCUAAAACUAGACAACCAACCUCCACAAUUCCUAAGGUCACCUAUCUACAUGACAAAGAAGAGAGCAGAACAUGGUUUUGCUUCUUACCAGCAAUUGUUCAUUUAAUGAUCUCAAAUUAUUGGUAUUGCUGAGAAAUACCAAGUAGGCCUAGUUGGUUGUUUGAUCAAAGAAACUUAUCAUGUUUUAUUUUCAAACUAGCUUCAUCCACAAAAUUUUAAGGCCCCAUAUGAACAUGGCCAACAGGCAUCAGCACAUGGCUUUGCCUAACUCAUCAGCCCUAUUUCACAAGUUACAAAUAAUCCCUCUUUCGUGAGCCUUUUUAUCAUCAAGCACAAGCAUUAUCAAUUCAGCAAUCAAAGGUCUCUAAAUUUCUUAUUUACUUUCUUGUGUCCAAUCUUCCAAUAAACAAAAA